rnacentral:rRNA from 1 species
GCUCACGGAACUCUUCGGAGGGAAGUGAAGGGAAUGAGCGGCGGACGGGUGAGUAACACGUAAGGAACCUGCCCCAAGGAUUGGGAUAACUCCGAGAAAUCGGAGCUAAUACCGAAUAGUUCUUCAGACCGCAUGGUCUGAUGAUGAAAGGCGCUCCGGCGUCACCUUGGGAUGGCCUUGCGGUGCAUUAGCUAGUUGGUGGGGUAAUGGCCCACCAAGGCGACGAUGCAUAGCCGACCUGAGAGGGUGAUCGGCCACACUGGGACUGAGACACGGCCCAGACUCCUACGGGAGGCAGCAGUAGGGAAUCUUCCACAAUGGACGAAAGUCUGAUGGAGCAACGCCGCGUGAGUGAUGAAGGUUUUCGGAUCGUAAAACUCUGUUGUAAGGGAAGAACAAGUACGAGAGGUAAUGCUCGUACCUUGACGGUACCUUGCGAGAAAGCCACGGCUAACUACGUGCCAGCAGCCGCGGUAAUACGUAGGUGGCAAGCGUUGUCCGGAAUUAUUGGGCGUAAAGCGCGCGCAGGCGGCCUUUUAAGUCUGAUGUGAAAGCCCCCGGCUCAACCGGGGAGGGUCAUUGGAAACUGGAAGGCUUGAGUACAGAAGAGAAGAGUGGAAUUCCAUGUGUAGCGGUGAAAUGCGUAGAGAUGUGGAGGAACACCAGUGGCGAAGGCGACUCUUUGGUCUGUAACUGACGCUGAGGCGCGAAAGCGUGGGGAGCAAACAGGAUUAGAUACCCUGGUAGUCCACGCCGUAAACGAUGAGUGCUAGGUG